AAUACCGCAUAAGCGCACAGUACCGCAUGGUACAGUGUGAAAAGCCGAGACGGUAUAGGAUGGACCCGCGUCUGAUUAGCCAGUUGGCAGGGUAACGGCCUACCAAAGCAACGAUCAGUAGCCGGCCUGAGAGGGUGAACGGCCACAUUGGGACUGAGACACGGCCCAAACUCCUACGGGAGGCAGCAGUGGGGGAUAUUGCACAAUGGGGGAAACCCUGAUGCAGCGACGCCGCGUGAGCGAUGAAGUAUUUCGGUAUGUAAAGCUCUAUCAGCAGGGAAGAAAAUGACGGUACCUGACUAAGAAGCUCCGGCUAAAUACGUGCCAGCAGCCGCGGUAAUACGUAUGGAGCAAGCGUUAUCCGGAUUUACUGGGUGUAAAGGGAGCGUAGACGGUUUGCCAAGUCUGAUGUGAAAGGUGUGGGCUCAACCCGCAAACUGCAUUGGAAACUGGUAGACUGGAGUGUCGGAGAGGUAAGUGGAAUUCCUAGUGUAGCGGUGAAAUGCGUAGAUAUUAGGAGGAACACCAGCGGCGAAGGCGGCUUACUGGACGAUAACUGACGUUGAGGCUCGAAAGCGUG
rnacentral:rRNA from 1 species